AGAGUUCGAUCCUGGCUCAGGAUGAACGCUGGCGGCGCGCCUAACACAUGCAAGUCGAGCGGCACCCUGCUUCGGCAGGAAGCGAGCGGCGAACGGCUGAGUAACACGUGACCAACCUGCCCUGCGCACGGGGACAGCCGCGGGAAACCGCGGGUGAUACCCGGUGGCCCCCUGGGACCGCAUGGCCCCAGGGGCAUAGCUCCGGCGGCGCGGGAUGGGGUCGCGGCCCAUCAGGUAGUUGGUAGGGUGACGGCCUACCAAGCCGACUACGGGUAGCCGGGUUGAGAGACCGACCGGCCAGAUUGGGACUGAGACACGGCCCAGACUCCUACGGGAGGCAGCAGUGGGGAAUCUUGCGCAAUGGGGGGAACCCUGACGCAGCGACGCCGCGUGCGGGAUGGAGGCCUUCGGGUCGUGAACCGCUUUCAGCAGGGACGAGACUGACGGUACCUGCAGAAGAAGCCCCGGCUAACUACGUGCCAGCAGCCGCGGUAAUACGUAGGGGGCGAGCGUUAUCCGGAUUCAUUGGGCGUAAAGCGCGCGUAGGCGGCCGCGCAGGCGGGGGGUCAAAUCCCGGGGCUCAACCCCGGGCCGCCCCCCGAACCGCGCGGCUUGGGUCCGGCAGGGGAGGGUGGAACGCCCGGUGUAGCGGUGGAAUGCGCAGAUAUCGGGCGGAACACCGGUGGCGAAGGCGGCCCUCUGGGCCGGCACCGACGCUGAGGCGCGAGAGCCGGGGGAGCGAACAGGAUUAGAUACCCUGGUAGUCCCGGCCGUAAACGAUGGACGCUAGGUGUGGGGAGGGUCGUCCUCUCCGUGCCGCAGCCAACGCAUUAAGC
rnacentral:rRNA from 1 species